UACGUAGGCAGCGAGCGUUGUUCGGAGUUACUGGGCGUAAAGGGUGUGUAGGCGGUUGUUUAAGUUUGGUGUGAAAUCUCCCGGCUCAACUGGGAGGGUGCGCCGAAUACUGAAUGACUUCGAGUGCGGGAGAGGAGAGUGGAAUUCCUGGUGUAGCGGUGAAAUGCGCAGAUAUCAGGAGGAACACCGGUGGCGAAGGCGGAUCUCUGGGCCUUACCUGACGCUCAGGCACGAAAGCUAGGGGAGCGAACAGG
rnacentral:rRNA from 1 species